rnacentral:lncRNA from 1 species
AAAGGUUAGAAACCAAAAAGAAUGAGUGUAUCCCCUUUAUAACUUUAGUUAUAGAUUGGAUCCAUACCUUCAAUUAGUUAUAGUAUCUCAAGUAAAAAAAUUAGUAUUGUUCUUUUUCUCUUUCAAUAAAAAAAAUUCUUAAUUUGAUUUAUAUUAUAAUGUAAUAAUAUAACAACAAUUAUGAGUCUAGGUAAACCCCAUAACGAAAGUUAUUGCACGGCAACAAAAAGUUCAACCCAACAAUGAAAAGCAGCUUGAGGUUUUUGUUCUUUUCAUCCCUAUGCCAUUAUGAAAAAUUUUAUGAGUCUAGGUAAACCCCAUAACGAAAGUUAUUGCACGGCAACAAAAAGUUUAACCCAACAAUGAAAAGCAGCUUAAGGUUUUUGUUCUUUUCAUCCCUAUGCCAUUAUGAAAAAUUUUAUCUUUACGAGUACCCAUUUGCAUGUUC